GACGAACGCUGGCGGCGUGCCUAAUACAUGCAAGUAGAACGCUGAAGGAGGAGCUUGCUCUUCUGGAUGAGUUGCGAACGGGUGAGUAACGCGUAGGUAACCUGCCUGGUAGCGGGGGAUAACUAUUGGAAACGAUAGCUAAUACCGCAUAAGAGUAGAUGUUGCAUGACAUUUGCUUAAAAGGUGCAAUUGCAUCACUACCAGAUGGACCUGCGUUGUAUUAGCUAGUUGGUGGGGUAACGGCUCACCAAGGCGACGAUACAUAGCCGACCUGAGAGGGUGAUCGGCCACACUGGGACUGGGACACGGCCCAGACUCCUACGGGAGGCAGCAGUAGAGAAUCUUCGGCAAUGGACGGAAGUCUGACCGAGCAACGCCGCGUGAGUGAAGAAGGUUUUCGGAUCGUAAAGCUCUGUUGUAAGAGAAGAACGAGUGUGAGAGUGGAAAGUUCACACUGUGACGGUAACUUACCAGAAAGGGACGGCUAACUACGUG
rnacentral:rRNA from 1 species